rnacentral:lncRNA from 1 species
AAAAUAAAAACGAGAUUUUUUUGGGGGCAGAAAAACCCAAAACCCAUCGUCCAAAACGAUGGCUGGAUGCCAUCUAAGCAACAUCGCGGAUGGCAGGCUCAUUAUCAGGCUUCUCCGCAUCACUGCCGUUGAGGCCGUCGGCGCUCCAUCUUCCGCCUCACCUCCACGGGACCCCUCUUCGCGGGUUCCUCUCCAUGGGAAUAAAGAGGACGCCGCGCAAUCAUGAGAAUGGAGAUGGCAGGGGUGGUGCGAGGCGAGCCACAGUUAUCCAAGGCACGCUCAUGCCAAAUCCAAAUCAAACCCUUCUUCUUCUUCUUCAAACAAGGUUGCAGAAGUCAGUUCAAAAUUAGGCAGGGCCGGCAUGGUUAGGGUUGGGAAAUCAAUCUUCUGAAACACCUCCAACUUCCAAGACAGAAUCUUAAUUCUUAUAUAUACUUCAAAUAAAGCUGAUUUAAUUUCCAGAACACAUCUAUAAAUCCAAACCAAUCCCAGAAGAAUCAAACCCCGAAACAAAUCACUCCAUCAAGAAACAACAAAAACAUUAAAACAACUUUGAAAAGAGGUGGAAGACUUACAUAGCCAAGAAGAAGAAGAAGAAACCAGUCAACGACUCCACUCCCAAUCGGAAAAUCUGAAAUCUCCGUCCAAACCUAAUCUCUGUCGACUCUGAAAUCACAUAUCUCUCUGUUUCGACUACUCCUCAAUGAACACUCACUCGAAACGGGUUACCCAGUUUGGGUCACACCGACGGGUAUUAAUUCAAUUCUGUGACAGUUUGGGUCACUCGAAACGGCUUGGUGGUUGAUUUUUACCACAAAACCAUUAAGUGGGCCCUUCUGUGUCUAUCAGUCGUAAACCAAUUCAAUUCACUCAAUUGAUACUCCAUUAACAUGAUGGAUGACACAAGAGUGCAG